GAUUACAUAUGUGUCUACAUAAUAUGAACUCAUCGCACUGUCCUUUCUGUUCAGAGCAGAGGACAUGGAUGGAGUUAUGCCAAUGCUAAUUUCAGUAUCUAUUUUUAUAACUUAACUGUAAAUCGUACAGUACAGGCCACACACAUGGGCUGUCACAAAAGAAAAUUAAGGAUUGUCAAAAGGCAGUACUGGAAUCACUGGAAACAAUAAUUGUUUGCCUCAAAAUCUGCCAACCUCCAACCCAACCUCCUCUUAAGAUCUACUACAUGAUCGUUGGAGCAAGACUUUCUACUCCACAAAAGCAGUGUGAGCUUCUGGACGGAAUGUAACAGCACAGAGCCAGCAAAACCAGAGAUGAAACGUGGGCUUCAGCUUUGCAGAACAGAAUUUCAGUAGGGUGUCGUGGCCCUUUUAGCUGAGUCAGAGGCCAUUCACCACUUGGGUCCAUAACGCCCUGUGACAGCUAAAAAGCCUGUAGUCUCCAGGCUGCCAGAAUCCUCUUAUUCAUUGCAUUGGUGUGACCCUGUCUCUCUGCUGAUCUAGCCAUGGCUACAUGGUGGAGAAAACACCAGUAUCAGAACCUAAAUUUGGGGAGGUUUGAUUGAUAUAUACACUUCCU
ensembl:lncRNA